UACGAGGGGGGCAAGUGUUGUUCGGAAUUACUGGGCGUAAAGGGUGCGUAGGCGGUCGGGUAAGUCUGGCGUGAAAUCUCCAAGCCUAACUUGGAAACUGCGUUGGAUACUAUCCGGCUCGAGGAAUGGAGGGGAGACUGGAAUACUUGGUGUAGCAGUGAAAUGCGUAGAUAUCAAGUGGAACACCAGUGGCGAAGGCGAGUCUCUGGACAUUUCCUGACGCUGAGGCACGAAAGCCAGGGGAGCAAACGGG
rnacentral:rRNA from 1 species